CCCUUAGAUGUUCUGGGCAGCACGCGCGCUACAAUGGUCUUCGCAAACGGAUGCAUUCUCGAAGGAGAAUGCCAAUCUUGGAAUCUAUGCCUUGGUCGGGACAGUUGCUUGCAAUUUUUCGACUCGAACCAGGAAUUCCUUGUAAUCGUGAUUCAUCACAUCACGAUGAAUACGUCCCUGCCCAUUGUACACACCGCCCGUCGCUCCUACCGAUCGAAGAGUUAGGUGAAUUGUUUUGAUCGAUAAGAUUUGACUAUGGUCAACUCUCGUUGUGAAAUUCUGUGAAUCUGACUGUUUAGAGGAAGGAAAAGUCGUAACA
rnacentral:rRNA from 1 species